rnacentral:rRNA from 1 species
UGGGGAAUCUUGCGCAAUGGACGAAAGUCUGACGCAGCCACGCCGCGUGAGUGAAGAAGGCCUUCGGGUUGUAAAGCUCUGUCGCCCGGGACGAACAGCCCAUCGGUUAAUAGCCGAUGGGUUUGACGGUACCGGGAGAGGAAGCACCGGCUAACUUCGUGCCAGCAGCCGCGGUAAUACGAGGGGUGCAAGCGUUGCUCGGAAUUAUUGGGCGUAAAGGGUAGGUAGGUGGUCUCAUUUGUCUGGGGUGAAAGCCUCGAGCUUAACUCGAGAAGUGCCCUAGAAACGGUGAGACUGGAGUCCUGGAGAGGGUCGUGGAAUUCCCGGUGUAGCGGUGAAAUGCGUAGAGAUCGGGAGGAACACCAGAGGCGAAGGCGGCGACCUGGACAGGUACUGACACUCAACUACGAAAGCGUGGGGAGCAAACAGGAUUAGAUACCCCCGUAGUCC